UACGGAGGAUGCAAGCGUUAUCCGGAUUCAUUGGGUUUAAAGGGUGCGCAGGCGGACUAAUAAGUCAGUGGUGAAAUUCUACGGCUCAACUGUAGAACUGCCAUUGAUACUGUUAGACUAGAGUAUAUUUGGAGUGGGCGGAAUGUGUCAUGUAGCGGUGAAAUGCAUAGAUAUGACACAGAACACCGAUCGCGAAGGCAGCUCACUAAGAUACAACUGACGCUCAUGCACGAAAGCGUGGGGAUCAAACAGG
rnacentral:rRNA from 1 species